AGUGAACGCUGGCGGUAGGCCUAACACAUGCAAGUCGAACGGCAGCACAGUAAGAGCUUGCUCUUACGGGUGGCGAGUGGCGGACGGGUGAGGAAUACAUCGGAAUCUACUUUUUCGUGGGGGAUAACGUAGGGAAACUUACGCUAAUACCGCAUACGACCUACGGGUGAAAGCAGGGGAUCUUCGGACCUUGCGCGAUUGAAUGAGCCGAUGUCGGAUUAGCUAGUUGGCGGGGUAAAGGCCCACCAAGGCGACGAUCCGUAGCUGGUCUGAGAGGAUGAGCAGACAAACUGGAACUGAGACACGGUCCAGACUCCUACGGGAGGCAGCAGUGGGGGAUGUUGGACAAUGGGCGCAAGCCUGAUCCAGCCAUUCCGCGUGGAAGAAGAAGGACUUCGGGUUGUACAGCCCUUUUGUUGGGAAAGAAAAGCAGCAGGUUAGUACCCCGCGGUUCUGACGGUACCGAAAGAAUAAGCACCGGCUAACUUCGUG
rnacentral:rRNA from 1 species